UGGUCCUAUGUGGUAUGUUGUAGGACAGUGAAGUGUCUGACACUGACCAUGUAGCAGUGCCUGAGAACACUGGUAUGGAGGGGGAGAACGCACCUCUUUACUGUAUUUGUCGGAAACCAGACAUCAACUGCUCCAUGAUACUUUGCCAUGAUAAAUUGGUCAGUUGACAACCAGGAGCCGUACACCUUAACCUCAGAGGCCAGGACAUCCAGGGGCAGUGUGAACACGCACUUGCUUAAAUGGGACGCAAGACGGACUAUAGAGGGCCACCCGCUUGCCAGACAACCAAGUGCUGUCCCUGUCCACGGCCAGUGUGAGAAGGACUCUCACUAAAGUCAACCCACACAAAGCUGCUGGACCAGACAAUAUACCUGGACGCGUGCUCGGAGCCCGUGCUGACCAGCUGACUGAUGUCCUAGCGGGCAUCUUUAACAUCUCCCUGAGUCAAGCUGUUGUGCCACAGUGCUUUAAAACCACCACCAUCAUACCUGUCCCCAGACCUUCCCAAAGCCUAAUUCCACAAUGAUUGCCUGAGCCUAUUCUUGUUAAAUGAUGAAAAACUCAAAGGCACGUUUGGGCAGUGGAUCUGUGUGAAAUCAGCAGCUUGCAAAACGAAAUCAAAAUGUGUGCUAUUGAUUCUAAAAAUAGAAAUCACAAUAAAGUUCAACAUUUACUAAAACCGGAGUCUCGGAGUUUUAAGACAAUGGAUGAUUCGAUCUCAUUGGCACUCCACAUAGCCCUAUCACAACUGGAUCAACGCAACACCCACCUAAGAAUGCUGUUCACUGAUUUCAUCUUAGCAUUCAACACCAUCAUUGCCCAGCAGCUGAUCGGCAAGCUGGACCUGCUCAGACUAAGCAACUCCACCUUCAACAGGAUGCUGGACUUUCUUACUUUGUAUGAAAACGUAAUAAAUUGGUAUUAGUAUGUAAAACCUA